CACACCCUGCGAUGCGCGUGAAGGUCGCUAGUGUUGAGCCAACACCAACACAUAGGGAGCCCCAUCUCUGGUUGUAGCAUGUAUGCCCCCUCCGAGGGGAAACAUAAAGCAACAGGAAGGCACCCACCUGCGAGAGCAGGUUCAAAACUGCGGCUGUCCACGGCAUAUGUGGGGUAAAG
rnacentral:other from 1 species